UGCCAGAGCCAUAUCUCCCUGUAGUUCUCGCCUAGUUUCCCUCUGAAGUUAAGCAGGGUUGAGCUUGGCCAGUACCUGGAUGGGAGACCUACUGGGGAAAACGAAGAUUUCUGGUGG
rnacentral:rRNA from 1 species